CGUUUUCCAAUUGUAGGAACUGCCGGUGAUUCGCUGUCCGGGCACAAAAGUAUGUCGUUCUCCACAAAGGAUCGCGACAAUGAUGUUUAUAGCGGUAAUUGUGCUACUGAGUUCCAUGGCGCUUGGUGGUACAGCAGCUGCCACUCUUCCAAUUUGAACGGUGCUUAUCUUCAUGGAGCCCAUUCCUCUUACGCUAACGGGGUAAACUGGCAGACCUGGAAGGGGUACCGUUACUCGGCGAAAAGGGCUGAGAUGAAAAUUCGGCCCAAUAAUUGGACUCCGUCGUAAACGCUGGAUACACAAGCACUUUUUUUCUGGUACUUAGAUGUUUGUUGUUCAAGUAGUCCGUUGUUCAAUUUAGGAAACAAUAUGUUUCAAUCAGUCAAUAGCCCAGGCGAUCAAAUGGAACCAAACAGCUCUUUGGAAAUAUCGUCUCUUUAGUCAAACUGCAGUGCUGUUGUUUUGCGUUUUUUUGUCAUGGCACGAUAUGGUGACAUGACUCUUUUCAGCUUUAUGAGCAAGUAGGUGAACUUUGUCUUUGUUAGUACGAAAAUACUGUAAUUAUGCCAGAAAAUAAAGUCGCUUGAUACUACCAUC